UGUUAUAGAUGAGCAAAAACAUUGGUUUGUUGAAAUGUGAAAUAUUCCUGGUGAAGAUGUUUGAAA
rnacentral:pre_miRNA from 1 species